UACGAGGGGAGCAAGCGUUGUUCGGAUUUACUGGGCGUAAAGGGCGCGUAGGCGGCGUGACUAGUCACUUGUGAAAUCUCCGGGCUUAACUCGGAACGGUCAAGUGAUACUGUCGUGCUAGAGUACAGAAGGGGCAACUGGAAUUCUCGGUGUAGCGGUGAAAUGCGUAGAUAUCGGAAGGAACACCGGUGGCGAAAGCGGCGCGCUGGACCUCUUCUGACGCUGAGGCGCGAAAGCCAGGGGAGCAAACGGG
rnacentral:rRNA from 1 species